rnacentral:ribozyme from 1 species
AGUCGUGCCAGCGACAUUAAAUAGGCCAUUAGGCUGGCAGCCGUCCCGGAGUAACUGGCCGGGGAUUGGC